rnacentral:rRNA from 1 species
AACGAACGCUGGCGGCAUGCCUAACACAUGCAAGUCGAACGAGACCUUCGGGUCUAGUGGCGCACGGGUGCGUAACGCGUGGGAACCUGCCCGUAGGUUCGGAAUAACUCCCCGAAAGGGGUGCUAAUACCGGUUAAUCUCUUCGGACCAAAGAUUGAGCGCCUUGGGAUGGGCCCGCGUUGGAUUAGCUAGUUGGUAGGGUAAAAGCAUACCAAGGGGACGAUCCAUAGCUGGGCUGAGAGGAUGAUCAGCCACACUGGGACGGAGACACGGCCCAGACUCCUAGGGGAGGCAGCAGUGGGGAAUAUUGGACAAUGGGCGAAAGCCUGAUCCAGCAAUGCCGCGUGAGUGAUGAAGGCCUUAGGGUUGUAAAGCUCUUUUACCCGGGAUGAUAAUGACAGUACCGGGAGAAUAAGCUCCGGCUAACUACGUG